GAUGAACGCUGGCGGCGUGCCUAAUACAUGCAAGUCGAGCGAACAGACGAGGAGCUUGCUCCUCUGACGUUAGCGGCGGACGGGUGAGUAACACGUGGAUAACCUACCUAUAAGACUGGGAUAACUUCGGGAAACCGGAGCUAAUACCGGAUAAUAUAUUGAACCGCAUGGUUCAAUAGUGAAAGACGGUUUUGCUGUCACUUAUAGAUGGAUCCGCGCCGCAUUAGCUAGUUGGUAAGGUAACGGCUUACCAAGGCAACGAUGCGUAGCCGACCUGAGAGGGUGAUCGGCCACACUGGAACUGAGACACGGUCCAGACUCCUACGGGAGGCAGCAGUAGGGAAGCUUCCGCAAUGGGCGAAAGCCUGACGGAGCAACGCAGCGUGAGUGAUGAAGGUCUUCGGAUCGUAAAACUCUGUUAUUAGGGAAGAACAAAUGUGUAAGUAACUAUGCACGUCUUGACGGUACCGAUCAGAAAGCCACGGCUAACUACGUG
rnacentral:rRNA from 1 species